UUAAUGAGGGGGGGCGGGAACUGAUACAAUAGUUUUAAAGGGGGCGUGAAGCUCAAAAGGUUGAGAACCCAUGAUUUACACCACUAUAGAAAACGAAAUUGUAUAUUAAUCUAUGCCACACUUUUAAUUUCAAUUGUUAGAAUUUACCAGCUGAUAAAUUUACUAAUAUCGCAUCAGCUAUAUUAUGAAUUAUGAUAAUACCAACACAUACCUAAUCUAGAUAAAUUUAAUCUAAAAAAAAAAAUACAUAUAUGAAGACUAAAGACAAAAGAAAAUUGAUAGAAAAAGUUUAGUUUCAUCUUCAAGCUACAAUAAGUAUAAAAAAAAAUGCGAGUAAGCAAGGCAUAUAAAAGGUAAAUGUCAUAAUAUGAAAACCAAUUUGUUGGAUAAUAUACAUUAUAUAAAUACUCUUUGAAAUAAUUUUAAGUAAUAUUCCAGAAAUGUAACUAUUAAAUGAACUUAUUUGAUCAAUGAUUAAAAAUACAAUAUGUUAAUCGGUAAAAAAAAGAUUGUUUAGUUAUUUUAAAAGUGGCGCUGCAAA